UGUUCUGUGGCUUAGUUGGUUCAAGCGCCAGACUAGCGUUACGGAGUCGUGGGUUCGUAUCCCACCAGAUCAG
rnacentral:tRNA from 1 species